rnacentral:rRNA from 1 species
UGGGGAAUCUUGCGCAAUGGGCGAAAGCCUGACGCAGCAACGCCGCGUGGGGGAUGAAGGCUCUCGGGUCGUAAACCCCUUUCAGGAGGGACGAAAAUGACGGUACCUCCAGAAGAAGCCCCGGCCAACUACGUGCCAGCAGCCGCGGUAACACGUAGGGGGCGAGCGUUGUCCGGAUUUAUUGGGCGUAAAGAGCUCGUAGGCGGCUCGGUAAGUCGGGUGUGAAAUUUCGAGGCUCAACCUCGGAACG